AUUCCAGGAAUGUACUACCAAAGUUCUAUCAAUAUUUGAAUGUCCUGGACAUUUAGGGAACAUUCGGUGAACAUCUGUUUAAAUUAUUCCUGGAAUGUUACCAUAAGACAUUCUGUGAACAUACUACCAAUGUUCCUAUAUUUUAAGUUGCGAAAUAAUACAUACGUGUAAGAGAUACAACAUUACUUAUAACAUACCAGACAAACUAAGUGACAUUUUAGGCCUACACUGCAAUAAUAUGUCAAAUUUAAAGAGUUUCCCAAGAUUAUAAACAUACAAAUGUAAUAAAAAUUAUUGUUCGCGAAUAUUCAAUUUGGAAUGCGAUUUUGUUAAUAAAAAAAAUACUUAUAACUUAUGCAAAACCCAAGAGAGGCAUUUAUAUUUAUUUCUUUUGCGUUCAUUUUCAAAUUCGCCGUGCAUAUAUUUUUGUGCAUGGCGCUUGAGAGGGCAUCACGUGACUAAAAACGACCAACCAACGACCUCGCUUCGGCCAUCUUGGCAUCUUCAUCUUGGCGACCUUGCCUUGCCGUGGAUUGUUUUUAGUUGUUUGUAUUAUUUGUGCUUUUUAAGAAUAUUUUUUUAAUUCGGAUACUUUUAUAAUAGCUUUAAUAGUAUUAUUAACAUAGUGCAUAAAAUGGUGUCCUGUUUUUAACGCAGUUGGAGUAGCAGAAACAAAUGUAGAUAAAAAAAUCUGCAGGAAUAACGUUUCAAUUAUGACAGAAGCUCAAAACAAAUGACUGUGAAUGGAAUGAAAAGCCCUAUUAAAAGCUUUCCAGAAGAUCCUGCGAAGAAGACAUGAAGUAUAGAUCAGAUUUGUUAAUAGAGGAGUAUGUUCAAAACACUUUUUAGAAAAAGAUAUUGACAGAACUUCACUUUCAUCUGUUCGUUUGAGAGACUGUGCUGUUCCAAUAGCUUAUGUCACACAGAAUCAGCUGAGAGAAGUGGUCUACAAAAAACCAGAAAGGAAACGGAAUAUGUGGCUACGAAAAGCAAAAGAAAGGUUUACAAAGCAAAUGUGACACAUUUUUUUAUAAUAUUUAGGAAUGUCAGCAAAUUACAUUAAAAAAUGUAUGUAAAGAUUUUUUGCAAUAAAAAUGUUUAUAUUUA